rnacentral:rRNA from 1 species
UGGGGAAUAUUGCACAAUGGGCGCAAGCCUGAUGCAGCAACGCCGCGUGAGGGACGACGGCCUUCGGGUUGUAAACCUCUUUUAGUAGGGAAGAAGCGAAAGUGACGGUACCUGCAGAAAAAGCACCGGCUAACUACGUGCUAGCAGCCGCGGUAAUACGUAGGGUGCGAGCGUUGUCCGGAAUUAUUGGGCGUAAAGAGCUCGUAGGCGGUCUGUCGCGUCUGCUGUGAAAACCCGAGGCUCAACCUCGGGCCUGCAGUGGGUACGGGCAGACUAGAGUGCGGUAGGGGAGAAUGGAAUUCCUGGUGUAGCGGUGGAAUGCGCAGAUAUCAGGAGGAACACCGAUGGCGAAGGCAGUUCUCUGGGCCGUAACUGACGCUGAGGAGCGAAAGCGUGGGGAGCGAACAGGAUUAGAUACCCUGGUAGUCCACGCCGUAAAACGUUGGGCGCUAGAUGUGGGGACCAUUCCACGGUUUCCGUGUCGCAGCUAACGCAUUAAGCGCCCCGCCUGGGGAGUACGGCCGCAAGGCUAAAACUUAAAUGAAUUGACGGGGUCAUAGCUGUUUCCUG